rnacentral:rRNA from 1 species
AUUGAACGCUGGCGGCAUGGUUAAAACAUGCAAGUCGAACGUGACUUGUAGCAAUACAAGUUAAGUGGCGAAAGGGCGAGUAAUGCAUUUCUAACGUACCCCAAGCUCAGGGACAGCUCACCGAAAGGUGAAUUAAUACCUGAUGAUGAUGACGAACCGUAUGGCUUGUCAUUCAAAGAUUUAUCGGCUUGGGAGCGGGGAAUGUCCUAUCAGGUAGUUGGUGAGGUAAUUGCUCACCAAGCCUUAGACGGGUAGCGGGUGUGAGAGCACGGCCCGCCGCAUCGGAACUGAGACACUGUCCGGACUCCUACGGGAGGCUGCAGUAACGAAUAUUCCGCAAUGGGCGAAAGCCUGACGGAGCAAUGCCGCGUGCAGGAUGAAGCCCCUCGGGGUGUAAACUGCUGUCAGAGUUUACUAACACAAUGAAGAGACUCAAAGGAAGAGACGGCUAACUCUGUGCCAGCAGCCGCGGUAAUACAGAGGUCUCGAGCGUUAAUCGGAGUCACUGGGCUUAAAGGGUGCGUAGGCUGCGCUACAAGUGCCUUGUGAAAUCCCACCGCUCAACGGUGGAAUUGCUCGGUAGACUGUAGUGCUUGAGGUUGGUAGGGGCUGCCGGAACUCUAGGUGGAGCGGUGAAA